UGAGAAACAGCUACUACUUCUAAGGGAGGCAGCAGGCGCGAAAAUUAUCCAAUGCCAACUCGGCGAGAUAGUGAAGACAUGUAACAACGAAGUCCUCAUUGAGGGCAUCGAUUGGAAUGAGUUACGUACAAAAUACGUAGCGAGGAUCAAAUGGAGGAAAAGUCUGGUGCCAGCACCCGCGGUAAUUCCAGCUCCAUUAGUGUAACUUAGCGUUGUUGCGGUUGAAAAGCUCGUAGUCGGAAGUUGAGCAGUGUUGUGGCACGGCCCACCGAUCUGGUGAGAACGGCUCAGGCUGCUCUCUGCUUGUAUGCAUUGGUCCGCACUUAAGUGGGUGGAUCAGGUGGCUGCAAGCCGUAUACUGUGAAGAAAUCAGAGCGCUCAAAGCAGGCUUGUGCCUGAAUGCGUUAGCAUGGCAUAUUAAAAGAGGGCGUCACGUGAUUUUGCUUGGAGGGCAUGUGAUGCAAUGAUCAAUGGGAAUGUUGGGGGCUGUCGGUACUGCUGGGCGAGCGGUGAAAUGUGUCGACCCUAGCAAGACCAUCAGAGGCGAAAGCUGUCAGCUAGUUCAUUUCCGUCGAUCAAGAACGAAAGUUUGGGGAUCGAAGAUGAUCAGAUACCGUCGUAGUCCCAACUGUAAACUAUGGCGACCAAGAUUCAGGAAAUGCCCACGAUGGCUUUCUUGGGACUUUGAGAGAAAUCAGAGUUCUUGGCCUCCGGGGGGAGUAUGGUCACAAGGCUGAAACUUAAAAGAAUUGACGGAAGCACACCACCAGGAGUGGAGUCUGCGGCUUAAUUCGACCCAACACGGGGAAUCUUACCGAAACAGGACAUAGUUAGGAUUGACAGAUUAACGGGAUCUUUCUUGAUUCUAUGGGUGGUGGUGCAUGGCCGAUCUUAGUCGGUGAGGUGACUUGUCUGGUUAAUUCCGUUAACGGACGAGACCUUGGUCUAUUAAAUAGGAGGAGCAACGGCUGAAAAGGCUGAAGGGUUUGGGCGGAUUUGUGUCCCUGUGACCUGCUUCCUGGAACCGGAUGCUUAGCCAGUUGACUCUUAUCUUCUUAGGGAGUGCAGUCGCGUUUUAUAUUAUGAAGCGGCAUUAGGUACAAGACAAUAUCAGGUCUGUGAUGCCCUUAGAUGUUUCGGGCGGCACGCGGAUUACACUGACAGCAGCAUCGAGUUCCUUAGCCGAGAGGUUUGGGUAAUCUUAAUCGCUGUCGUGAUGGGGAUUGGCCAUUGUAAUUAGGGGCCAUGAACGAGGAAUUCCUUGUAGGCGCGGAUCAUCAAUUCGCACCGAAUACGUCCCUGUGCUUUGUACACACCGCCCGUCGCUUCUACCGAUUGAGUUGUCCGGUGAACUUUUUAGACAAGU
rnacentral:rRNA from 1 species